AGCAUGAGUCAUCUCGUUCCAAUGAGAAUGAAGGCUGAGGUGUGCGCCUUUUUUUUUUUUCCUUCUUAGUCGUGUGUACAUCAUUGGGAAUGGAGGGAAAUAAAUGACUGGAUGGUCGCUGCUUUUUAAGUUUCAAAUUGACAUUCCAGACAAGCGGUGCCUGAGCCCGUGCCUGUCUUCAGAUCUUCACAGCACAGUUCCUGGGAAGGUGGAGCCACCAGCCUCUCCCUGACAAGCAAAGUGGAUCAGCAAAGGCUGCAGUCACCAGCAUCUUUUCCAACCUUAAUGAACUGUAUCCUCAAAAGAACACUAUCAGACUGGCUCUGCCGACUUCCAGUUCUGGAACAAGAUGGUUAAACUCAUUUUUCCCUGCUCUGCUCCUCUAAAUACAACUAAGUACCUUGGAAACUAUUCAGCAGACAAUGAUAAAGGGCUCUGAAAGCUAGAAGAAAAGGUGUACUUGCAAGAAACCUCAGGACUUGAGUAACAGCAACAUGUCUUGGACGAGCCUGAGGAUGUCUACAAGUGGAAGAAAAGAAGCCACUGGAGCAGAAGGUGGGGAGGAUAAAAUUUGGAGCAAGAUUCUCAAGGAAGCAACAAGAUCCUAAGGAAAGGAGAAAGAGACUACCUACUGCAUUUCUGUCACUCGCUGAAAAGGACACUCUGUCAGAAAAUCUUCUAGCAAACUUCAAAGGGCAAAAUCACCCCUUGUUACUGAUAAAGCCCAGAGAGCUUCAGCAGCUAACAUUCCCUGGACAGGGCACAGCAAGGAUUUGAACCUAGGUCAGUCUGGCCAGAACACCCACAAGCUUUCCUUAACUCAGUGUGCUAUCUCCCCACGACUAGGUCACUACUGCUUUAUAAUCACCUUUGUAGCCACCAGUGGAUUUUGCUCAUCAGUAUUUUUCAGGCAAUUGAUACUUUAGAUAUUCAGCUGCAAGACGUAUGCAGUUUUCAUUGACAUCUUUUGGAGAAACUGACAAACCUGGACUUGACUUAAUGCCUUUGGAACCUUCCAAGAUGUUAUAUAACUCUAGAUAGAAGGCUGGGCCUCCAUGAUGUCAGGAAUGUUGCAUUCUUAUUUCCCCAUAGAUAAACCCAUUUGUCCACAAAGUCAAGGAGUCAGGCAGAGGCCCUUGCCAUGGGGCUUUUUAGGAUAAAGCAACAAGCCUGGACUUUGCUCUACAACAGGGUUUUGCAUAGGGAGUGGUAUGACCAGAUCCCUCAAGAAAGAAAGCUUAGAGACCAGGCCAGAGUCCACUGCAGUAGCCCAGUCAAGAGAGGAUGGUGACUUGGACUUGUAGUAGAGCCAGUUAGAAUGAAAGAAAUUGACACAUUCAGAAAUGGUUUUAGAGAUAGAGUCAAACUGGACCUGAUAAAGAACUAGAGAAGCGGAGUGAGGAUAAAGAGAAGAGCCAUGACUGACUCGGAAGAUUUUGUCUUGAAAAACUUGAGAACUCAAGACAGAGUGAAAUAAAAUCACAUGUGGGAAAAAUCUCCUGCUUUGUUUUGGACU
rnacentral:lncRNA from 1 species